rnacentral:rRNA from 1 species
CUACGGGAGGCAGCAGUUGGGAAUCUUGCACAAUGGGGGAAACCCUGAUGCAGCGACGCCGCGUGGAGGAUGACGGAUUUAGGUCUGUAAACUCCUUUUGCAGGGAAAGACUUAGGACGGUACCCUGAGAAUAAGGACCGGCUAACUACGUGCCAGCAGCCGCGGUAAGACGUAGGGUCCGAGCGUUGUCCGGAUUUACUGGGCGUAAAGAGCGCGUAGGCGGUCUGUUAAGUGUGAAGUGAAAUCUCCAGGGCUCAACCCGGAAACUGCUUUACAUACUGGCAGACUUGAGGAAUGCAGAGGUGAAUAGAAUUCCUGGUGUAGCGGUGAAAUGCGUAGAUAUCAGGAGGAAUACCCAUGGCGAAGGCAGUUCACUGGGCAUUAUCUGACGCUGAGGCGCGAAAGCGUGGGUAGCAAACAGGAUUAGAAACCCCUGUAGUCC